AACAAUUUUCUUGAACUUGUCUAUGAUUGCAUAAGAAGCCUGUGACAAAGCUGUCAAGUUACUGUGCAAGUGGCUGGACUCUUGGUUCUGUCAUUGGAGCAUCUUCUGCAAGUAACAAAAGUGGUAGGAAGAUCAAGACUGACAUUGUUUUGGAAAGUCUUGCAAACUUGUGGAUAGGACACAGGCAUGUGCCCGAGAGAGAAAUGGAAUAUGGAGUUCGGGGUUGUUCGGUGGUGCUGACAUGGCUAUCUGAGGCUCUGAGGCUCUGAGGCAGGACGACCCACCAGCCAACCACACAGGUGACCAGCAUUCGUCUGAGUAUGCUGUUCUCUUGAUGCCAAACAAA